UGAUGACUGUUCCUCCUAUUGCUUAUAGGCUGGGCACUAGGAUUUUAUGUCAUCAUAAAAUUAAUUUGAUUUUCUUCACUCAGAGAAUAUUAGGAUAAUGGGAUUUAUUAUCUGUCUAUUCUCUGAAAUUUGCGGGAUCUAACACUU
rnacentral:snoRNA from 1 species